rnacentral:lncRNA from 1 species
AAACGCAUAAAAAUACAUUCGAUGCUUAAGUCAAAAUUGUUUGCAGUUUUGUGUUAAGGCUUUACUUACCGACACAUUCAUAGGGGAACCCUGGUUUACAGGGAUAAGAACGCCAAGGGCCACAUCCAUUAUACUAACUAUACAAUAUGUGUAAGUUUUACUGCACUUCUGAGGGUCCAUCUACGAACCUCAAGUGCUUGCACUGCGGGACGCGGUGAGUCGCGUUACAGUCUACUGGAUGCGCAUCGGAAGGCGAGCCCCAACACACAAUCGGCAUUGCAUCAUAUCAAAUUUCAUGCUCAAUAUUUAUUUUAUACUCUUAAAGAUAAGUUGGGCCAUAACUUGACCGUGCGGGUGAAGAAGUGACACUGCAUGGAGGCAUCUACUUGAGGUGCAGACCGCGCACGCACAGACCUCACCAAAAUUUGCGUCUGGUAGGCUGGAUUCGUUUAACCAUCCGGUCUUAAACUUCCCUGCCGUCAGGUACUGUGCGGCUUGUCUCCACGGGGAGUUUCAAGGCAAGAUGCCAUCUCUUACCAAGUGCGGUGCCUGCGGAAAGAACCCCAGGUCAAAGCCCAACGCAGAACGGGGCAGCUGGGCGGGCACCAAGGUCCCGCUGAGAUCAGCGGACACGACUGGCAACUGACACUAACCUCUACGGUUGGCAACGGACACUAACCAACCAACGAACAAGGGGCGGCAACCUGCUAGUAAAGCCUCAGAUGAAUAGAAAUCAGACCAAGCCGACGUCCUCCAUGGCGAAAUUGGAGUGCCAAAGUAGCCUGGGUGAAAUAAUAGCGCGCCAUUAGCAUGGAUCUGUCCAUGGUAUGUGCGCUAUACUUCGUUUGCGCGUACCAGGGGCGCGUACAUAGCCUGGCGCGUACAUACAUAGCCGUGCUUUAUAACUGUGCAUGCUUGUACAUAUUCUGAUGGGUAUAAUGCGUUUAUAACUUAUGUGCUCAUCCGUGUCAAUAACUUGCUUGGAGCCGACGUUGAACUGGAAUGGGCCCUGUCCUGUUUGCCUACCGUAUAGUUGGGGGAGUGUUGAAGGGUGUUCUUUAUGAAUAUCAGCACGACGUGGCAAGGCGUCUGCUGAACCCUAGAACUUUGGCAGUUGACUAAUUGUCAACAACGAGGCCGAUUUGUGCUAAACGCGUUGAUAACGCUAAGAGGGUGUUUCCAACCAGCCGGGGUUCACAAGUUUCUCCCAGGCGCACGCACCUUUCCCGGUGAAAAGCAUGAACUUAAAUUGCACAUGUAAAUGUAUGUUAUAAUUACUGCAGAAGAAACAGUGUUCGUACGCGGAACGAGAAAGAGUGCAAGCCCCAUUGGAAACAGUUGUACCUCUAUGUCGGGCCUAGCCGACUUACAGGGUGGCUCCACUUCAGCAUGUGUUGUCGUACCUGCUAGGAAAGGAAAAUUCCGCAGUAUGCUAAACGGAAUGACCUUGAUCCGAAGAUAUGAAGGAGUACACAAGCUUUACCAGGCCGUCGAUUACGGUUGCGUAUCGCUAGCAAACCUUAAAGAACCCAUGGGUGGUGCUCCGCUAACCCUUUGUACGCC